UGAGGAAUCUUCCACAAUGGACGAAAGUCUGAUGGAGCAAUGCCGCGUGCAGGAUGACGGCCUUCGGGUUGUAAACUGCUUUUAUAUGGGAAGAUUAUGACGGUACCAUAUGAAUAAGGACCGGCUAACUACGUGCCAGCAGCCGCGGUAAUACGUAGGGUCCAAGCGUUAUCCGGAAUCACUGGGCGUAAAGCGUUUGUAGGCGGAAAUUUAAGUGAGAUGCGAAAUCUUGUGGCUCAACCAUAUAGAC
rnacentral:rRNA from 1 species